CCAAGGAGCGCAACAUGCGUGCGAGUCUUUGGGUGGCAAACCCAGCGGCACAAUGAAAGUGAAGGCAGGCGGUGGCCUGCGAGGCGAGAGUCUCCUCGCGAGACGCAUCGUCGACCGAUCCCAGGUCACGCUGUGGCGGGAUUUGAGUGAGAGCGUGCCUGUUGCGACCCGAAAGAUGGUGAACUAUGCCUGAAUAGGGUGAAGCCAGAGGAAACUCUGGUGGAAGCUCGUAGCGAUUCUGACGUGCAAAUCGAUCGUCAAAUUUGGGUAUAGGGGCGAAAGACUAAUCGAACCAUCUAGUAGCUGGUUCCCUCCGAAGUUUCCCUCAGGAUAGCUGGAGCCCGGUGCAGUUUUAUCAGGUAAAGCGAAUGAUUAGAGGUCUUGGGGUUGAAACAGCCUCAACCUAUUCUCAAACUUUAAAUGGGUAAGAGGCCCGGCUUGCUCAAUUGAAGUCGGGCAUCGAAUGCCGGGGUUCCUAGCGGGCCAUUUUUGGUAAGCAGAACUGGCGAUGUGGGACGAACCAAAUGCCGGGUUAAGGUGCCCGAAUCGACGCUCAUCAGAUACCAUGAAAGGU
rnacentral:rRNA from 1 species